CAGCAGCCGCGGGAAUACAGAGGGUGCGAGCGUUAAUCGGAUUUACUGGGCGUAAAGCGUGCGUAGGCGGCUUUUUAAGUCGGAUGUGAAAUCCCUGAGCUUAACUUAGGAAUUGCAUUCGAUACUGGUUAGCUAGAGUGUGGGAGAGGAUGGUAGAAUUCCAGGUGUAGCGGUGAAAUGCGUAGAGAUCUGGAGGAAUACCGAUGGCGAAGGCAGCCAUCUGGCCUAACACUGACGCUGAGGUACGAAAGCAUGGGGAGCAAACAGGAUUAGAUACCCGAGUAGUCCCUGUCUCUUAUAC
rnacentral:rRNA from 1 species